CUGUUCCUGGUGGUCGACGCCCCCUACUCCAACAACAAGCAGUUCCCUUCCCUUGCCGUAGAUGUCAACCGCCCGGCUUCCAGGCAGUCCGCGCGGGCGUGCCCCUGGUCGGCUCGCCCUUGCACGCAUCGCCCCUGGUCGCAGCACCUGGCGAGCCACCCCUUCCCCAUGCUCGGCCGGCACCGCCUCCCCUACCGGCGAGCAACCCUGCCGACGUCGUUGAGCUGCGUCGAGAUCCAUGGCCGUGACAUCCUGCGCCGCCUAAGCCACAACUUCGUCAUUGGCCACCCGCUCACGUCGUGCGUCGUUGCCCGCGUCCCCAGCUACGGCAGUCGCUCGCUCCGACCAAUCAAAGCCCCUAGUCCCUGCUCUAGCCAGCCCUCCCCCUCGUGCGUUCCAUGCUUGUGCGGCUGCGCCAUGGAUGAAGGCCCCCGCGCUCUGGCCAGCCAUCCGUUUGAUUAG
rnacentral:misc_RNA from 1 species